GUUUACCUAAUCAAGCCUGGGCAAUGGCGGGCGCCCCUCCCCCAGCCUCGCUGCCGCCUUGCAGUUUGAUCUCAGACUGCUGUGCUAGCAAUCAGCGAGAUUCCGUGGGCGUAGGACCCUCCGAGCCAGGAAGUUGUGCUGUACCUGAGAGCACCGAGAGAUAACAUAAGAAGCCAUCUUGGAAUUAAAGUUGUUGAAUGGAAAUGUGGCUUCAGCCUGGCUGUGUAUCACAUCCUUCUGGUUAGGGGCAUUGCUGCAGGAAUCUGUUUAUUCUCAAUUCAAGCCAAUAUGUACUGAUUGCUCUGACCUCCUCUGGUAAACAGGCAUUCUACUGGAACGUGUAAGAUAAUUUUUGCCAUCUGUCAUUUUCUUCUUCUUGAGAAAGGAGGAGAAUUACUGAGAAACAAGAAAAUGAAAGAAGAUCAAAUUUGCAGGUGAAUAAUCAUGACCCAAGUGGAACUGAGGAAAGUGUGCUGAAACCUGUUGGAGAACCCAUACAAAGAAGUUGGGAUGCAGAAAAGGAAGGCAGCCAGAAUCUGG
rnacentral:antisense_RNA from 1 species